rnacentral:ribozyme from 11 species
GAAAGAAAGAAAGAAAGAAAGAAAGAGAGAGAGAGAGCCUUUUUGUUUGCCUCCCUUUCUUCCAUUUUUC